AUGAGCGGGAAAGCAGAAGGCUGGACAAAAGAUGUUCCUAGAGAUGUUCGCCAUCUUUUUAUUCAGAGUUAUGAUGCAACAUUGAUUACUAGUAAGAUUAUUGAAUUGGGAAAUUUACACACUCUCAUCAUUUAUACCGUUGGAAGGGAUACACCAGUUGAGGAAAUAGUCAUCGAGAGCAUACUCAAGGGUUUGCAAAAACUGCGAGUACUAGUAAUAGCAAUGGCUUUAUUUAAUCCAGAACAUGUUACAUUUAUUCAGGAACCAAAUAUAUUCUCUGUCCCAGAAUCUAUGGGUCAAUUAAAGCAUCUACGCUAUCUUGCUUUUCGGACAGGUGGUGGAUGCAGGGUAGUUUUACCAAGCACACUAAACCAGCUUUGCCAGAUGCAGGUGCUAGAUUUUGGUUAUUGCAGUGAUUUGGUAUUUUCCUGUGGUGAUCUGAUCAACUUGCGGCAUGUAUUCAGUGGUUCAAAAUUGUUCAACAGUUCAAAAUCAAAAGUUUACAAUUCAAAGAAAGAAUCAAGUUUUUUGAACAUUAGCAGGCUGGUCUCACUCGAGACAUUCCCAUAUUUCAGGGUAGAGAAUGAACAAGGGCAUGAGGCAAUGCAGUUGAGGUACCUAAACAGGCUCAGCGGCCAACUGAUUAUGUCUGGUCUUGAAAAUGUUAAAAGCAGAGAGGAAGCUCUUGAAGUUAAUGUAGGUGCCAAGAAAUGUCUGACAGAUUUGUCACUGUUGUGGGAUGGUGGUGAAGGUGAUACAAGGUGCAGUCCAAAAGUUGAAGCAGUGGUACUUGAAGGCCUUUGCCCUCCCGUGGGUCUUGAAGUUAAUCUAGGUGCCAAGAAAUGUCUGACAGAUUUGUCACUGUUGUGGGAUGGUGGUGAUACAAGGUGCAGUCCAGAAGUUGAAGCAGUGGUACUUGAAGGCCUUUGCCCUCCCGUGGGUCUUGAAAAACUAGACAUCUCAUACUACGAAGGUUCGACAUACCCGAACUGGAUGGUGGGUAGGCAAAAUGGCGGACCAAAGAACCUGAAAGAACUUUUGCUUUUGAAAUGGAGCCAACCAGGACCUGCUCCUGAACUGGAUGCUUUCGUUCAUCUUCGUUCGCUCCGUUUAACACUAGUAGAAAACAGGGCUUUGGUUCGGCCAGAAAAAAGCAUUAAUCCCGGUUGCAUUACGAACCGGGACUAA
rnacentral:rRNA from 1 species